rnacentral:rRNA from 1 species
UACGUAGGGUGCAAGCGUUGUCCGGAAUUAUUGGGCGUAAAGAGCUCGUAGGCGGUUUGUUGCGUCGGCUGUGAAAUCCCGAGGCUCAACCUCGGGUCUGCAGUCGAUACGAGCAAACUAGAGUGUUGCAGGGGAGACUGGGAUUCCUGGUGUAGCGGUGAAAUGCGCAGAUAUCAGGAGGAACACCGGUGGCGAAGGCGGGUCUCUGGGCAACAACUGACGCUGAGGAGCGAAAGCGUGGGGAGCGAACAGG